rnacentral:tRNA from 1 species
AGCUGUGUGGUCUAGUAGCUGGGACUCCUCACUAGAACUGAGGAGACCUGGGUUCUAUUCUUGGCUCUGCCC